UACGUAGGGUGCAAGCGUUGUCCGGAAUUAUUGGGCGUAAAGGGCUCGUAGGCGGUUUGUCGCGUCGGGAGUGAAAUCACUGGGCUUAACCGAGUGCUUGCUUUCGAUACGGGCAGACUUGAGGCAUUGAGGGGAGAACGGAAUUCCUGGUGUAGCGGUGAAAUGCGCAGAUAUCAGGAGGAACACCGGUGGCGAAGGCGGUUCUCUGGCAAUGUUCUGACGCUGAGGAGCGAAAGUGUGGGGAGCGAACAGG
rnacentral:rRNA from 1 species